GGGGGCAACCCUGGCGGCGAGCGGCGAACGGGUGAGUAACAUAUCGGAACGUACCCCGUCGUGGGGGAUAACGCAGCGAAAGCUGUGCUAAUACCGCAUACGACCUGAGGGUGAAAGCGGGGGACCGUAAGGCCUCGCGCGAUGGGAGCGGCCGAUAUCGGAUUAUCUUGUUGGUGAGGUAAAGGCUCACCAAGGCGACGAUCCGUAGCUGGUCUGAGAGGACGACCAGCCACACUGGAACUGAGACACGGUCCAGACUCCUACGGGAGGCAGCAGUGGGGAAUUUUGGACAAUGGGGGCAACCCUGAUCCAGCCAUUCCGCGUGAGUGAAGAAGGCCUUCGGGUUGUAAAGCUCUUUCAGCAGGAACGAAACGGUGGCCCCUAAUACGGGCUACUAAUGACGGUACCUGAAGAAGAAGCACCGGCUAACUACGUGCCAGCAGCCGCGGUAAUACGUAGGGUGCGAGCGUUAAUCGGAAUUACUGGGCGUAAAGCGUGCGCAGGCGGUUCUAUAAGACAGAUGUGAAAUCCCCGGGCUUAACCUGGGAACUGCGUUUGUGACUGUAGGACUCGAGUGUGGCAGAGGGGGGUGGAAUUCCACGUGUAGCAGUGAAAUGCGUAGAGAUGUGGAGGAACACCGAUGGCGAAGGCAGCCCCCUGGGUCAACACUGACGCUCAUGCACGAAAGCGUGGGGAGCAAACAGGAUUAGAUACCCUGGUAGUCCACGCCCUAAACGAUGCGAACUAGGUGUUGGGGAAGGAGACUUUCUUAGUACCGCAGCUAACGCGUGAAGUUCGCCGCCUGGGGAGUACGGUCGCAAGAUUAAAACUCAAAGGAAUUGACGGGGACCCGCACAAGCGGUGGAUGAUGUGGAUUAAUUCGAUGCAACGCGAAAAACCUUACCUACCCUUGACAUGUCAGGAAUCCUGCUGAGAGGUGGGAGUGCCCGAAAGGGAACCUGAACACAGGUGCUGCAUGGCUGUCGUCAGCUCGUGUCGUGAGAUGUUGGGUUAAGUCCCGCAACGAGCGCAACCCUUGUCAUUAAUUGCCAUCAUUCAGUUGGGCACUUUAAUGAGACUGCCGGUGACAAACCGGAGGAAGGUGGGGAUGACGUCAAGUCCUCAUGGCCCUUAUGGGUAGGGCUUCACACGUCAUACAAUGGUCGGUACAGAGGGUCGCCAACCCGCGAGGGGGAGCCAAUCCCACAAAGCCGAUCGUAGUCCGGAUCGCAGUCUGCAACUCGACUGCGUGAAGUCGGAUUCGCUAGUAAUGGCGCAUCAGCUACGGCGCCGUGAAUACGUUCCCGGGCCUUGUACGCGCCGCCCGUCACAUCAUGAAAGCCGUCUGCACCCAAAGUUGCUGAGCCAACCCUCACGGGAGGCAAGCACCUAAGGUGUGG
rnacentral:rRNA from 1 species